rnacentral:rRNA from 1 species
AGUGAACGCUGGCGGCGUGCCUAAUACAUGCAAGUCGAACGCGAAAGUCCUUCGGGAUGAGUAAAGUGGCGCACGGGUGAGUAAUACAUGGGAACAUGCCCUUGGAUGGGGAAUAACGUUUGGAAACGAACGUUAAUACCGCAUAAUCUCGCGUGAGUAAAGGUGGCGCCGCAAGGGCUACCGUCCAAGGAUUGGCCCAUGUCCCAUUAGCUAGUUGGCGGGGUAAUGGCCCACCAAGGCAACGAUGGGUAUGUGGUCUGAGAGGAUGAUCACACACACUGGAACUGAGACACGGUCCAGACUCCUACGGGAGGCAGCAGUAGGGAAUAUUGCACAAUGGGGGAAACCCUGAUGCAGCAACGCCGCGUGAGUGAAGAAGGCCCUUGGGUUGUAAAGCUCUUUAGCGUGGGAAGAAGGUAGAUACGGUGAAUAAUCGUGUUUGCUGACGGUACCACGAGAAUAAGCACCGGCUAAUUUCGUGCCAGCCGCCGCUGUAA